rnacentral:rRNA from 1 species
GAUUCUGGCUCAGGAUGAACGCUGGCGGCGUGCCUAACACAUGCAAGUCGAACGAAGCAUGGGAAGCGGAGAUUCGUCGAAGGUUCCAUGACUUAGUGGCGGACGGGUGAGUAAUGUGUGAGCAACCUGCCUUUCAGAGGGGGACAACAGUUGGAAACGACUGCUAAUACCGCAUAACGUAUUUGGUCGGCAUCGGCCGGAUACCAAAGGAGCAAUCCGCUGAAAGAUGGGCUCACAUCUGAUUAGCUUGUUGGUGAGGUAACGGCUCACCCAAGGCUGCGAUCAGUAGCCGGACUGAGAGGUUGAACGGCCACAUUGGGACUGAGAUACGGCCCAGACUCCUACGGGAGGCAGCAGUGGGGAAUAUUGGGCAAUGGGCGAAAAAGCCUGACCCAGCAACGCCGCGUGAAGGAAGAAGGUCUUCGGAUUGUAAACUUCUUUUAUGAGGGACGAAGGACGUGACGGUACCUCAUGAAUAAGCCACGGCUAACUACGUGCCAGCCGCGGC